UGGGUGGGUGCCCAGCCCUGCCAGGCAGAAGGCGGGUGGCUUCUCUUGUUUAAAUCUUAGAUCUUACUUAUGGGAGACCUGGGGUGGGGGGUGAGGUCUGCCUUUUGCAUUCUUAUCAGGUGAGUCAUGACAGGGAUCAGCCCCCUGUAAGCACCUGCGGGUCAAGACAGAGAACCUUGCCAGAGCCCAGAAGCCGCUGCAGGCCCCUCCCAUCCCAUCAGUAGCCCAUCCGUACGGGCCUGGUGGCUCCUCCCUUCGCUCUGUGGGUUUCCAUGUCCACAUAUAUCCUCCCACACUGCAGCCUGGGGUUAAAUGUGCGUUGUGUGACUUUCAGUGCUCUCUUCCUACCCACCUCCAUCCCUCUGUCCUUUUCUGUACCCGGCACCUGUUGUAGGAAGCAGCCCUCGGACACGUGGAGGUGCCCAAGGCCUGGGUUGGAGCUGCAUCUUUCGGUGCAGACCUCUGCGUCUCCUGGAAGUGGGCACCUGGAGCCAGGGGCCUGCUGGGAUCUGGGUCCAGUCCCCUGGCAAGGCCGGGGGCUCUCAGAGGGAGCCACACACUGUCUGGUGGUAGCUCCUCCGUCCGCAGUCAUUGGUGCUUGAUGUCUGAAUCGACAGAUUCAUGGAGCAAAACGGUGAUUUUCCAGUGCGUGGUGGCUUUGUCAUGAAUUCACUGGAAGGAGAGGCUCAUCUUGUCCGUCUGGCCGUCUGGAUAAUGGUGCCCACAGGAAAGGCAGGGCAAGGGUGCCUCUCCCUCAUUUGUCGGUUUUCACAAUGGUGAAUUGGUUCCCGACGAUCUCCCAAGUGUAUUUAUAUAUCGCUGAUGAAACACAUUGGUGGGUCUCAGUCGAUCACCAUUAGUGCCCUUUCCAAUCAUUGGUGUCCAGCUUUGCCCAGGGGAGCCUCUUCAAAUGCAAUCUCGCAUCCUUAUGAUGUGAGCCUGGUCAUCUGCGAUGGCCUCUUGGCCGUGUGCAGGGCACAGCCAGGGGAACCCUGGGAUUUAGUGCGAAAGUGUAGCCGAUGGUGGUUACAUUCUGUGUGUAGAUUCUCGGAACAGUCCCUGCUGCCUGCGACCCUGGGGUGGAGUUUCUAAUUGAUUAGGACGGACACCCAGUGCCAGCUUCCAAGCCAGGAGGCCGCUCGUGCCCACGGCUUGGAAUCAGGGCUGUGGCCUGGGCGGGCUCUCACCAGGCGCAGGCCACCUCCAGGUGUCCGUGUGCCUCUGCACACAGAGCUUCUCCCCAGGUCCGCAGGUCCCCCCAGUCCACUUCUGCUUUCCUGUUAGGGUGGGGGGCUCAUCUCCUGGUGUGUCAUCUGCAUCCUUCUGGGCUGGGAACCUGCUAUUGGGUACCAGGCAGGGCGCACCUCCAGGGCUGAAGGAUGCAGGUGGGGCUGGCAGGCAGAGCGUCCGUGGAGAGCUCCGUGUCCAGGCAAGAGGACACCUGGAGGAGGCCUGCCCUGGAGGCCCCACACUCCUUCUCACCAGAAGCCACCCGCCUUCUGCCUGGCAGGGCUGGGCACCCACCCAGGUUCUUGCCUGUUGGCCUGGCACCCAUGUGUGGUGAGCCUCUCCGGGCAGGGUGGGGUAUGUGGACAUCAGUGGAGGAAGCAGAGGCUCCGGCCGCCUGUGGGACCCGCACUCUCCCUGCCCAGGAGUCCCGCCAGGGCCGAGAAUUCUGCGCAUGGCCAGGGUGGCCCUAAAGCCCCACAUCCGCCACCACCUGUGGGGGCUCGAAGGGAGCUGUGGUAGGCAGGGAUGACAGAAGACCCCAGCCACAGCCCCAGGCCCACGGCCGCAUCUCCCCUGAAGAUGCAGCCCUGUCCCAAGGGUUCUGCAAACAAUGCCAGGCUCUUCCCAGGCAGGCACCGCAAGCUGUGCCCCCCUCCACCGCUGGCUUGCCCAGGGCGGGGCCCCUGGGCCUGGUGGAUGGUGGGCCUGGCUCAGCUGGUGCCGGGGAGCCUGUCUGCACAGUGGCCGGGUACGUGGGGUUCGGAGCCUCCCGGGUCCUGUGCCUGCUGGGCAGGGGCGCAUCCCAUGGAGCUGAAUCUGGGAACAGAAGGGGCCUCCCCUCCCACAGAGCUCCUCUGAGACCGUCUGUGUCUGAGACUGUAAGUGACGCCAACAGAAGGUCAAGCUUGAGCGACAAAGCUCUCAGUCCUGUAAUUCACGGACACUGAGUCUUCGCUCAAGUUCCCUCUGGAAGAUUCCAUGGAUGAGGCCGACACACUCUGCCCCUCACUCAGGAGGCUCCAGGAUUUUUAGACCACGUGUGCAGCUUUCCUUCUCUCAAAGUAUAACUCACAUAAUGUUACUCAGAAUCUCACACGGACGCCUGUGAGCUGCGGACACAGGGAAGGUUCCGCAUCUCCUCUGAAGUCCAAGCUGCCCAGAAGCCCACCCACCCCCCGCCAGCUCUCGUUCCUGCUCCACAGGUGACUUCUUUCCCGUGAACCUUGGGCAAAUGUUUGCUGUUGGCUUAGGGGGAAAGGCUGUGCCAGGGUCCAGAUGGGCUCAAAACCUCCCAACCUGGCAGACACGCAGCCCAGGCCAUGCCAGGGUCCAGGUGAGCUCAAAACCUCCCAACCUGGCAGACACGCAGCCUUUCAGAAACGGAAGCAGAGCCCAGGACAUGGUAUGGCCAAUCCUCUCACAGGCAUCAUAAAGAGCUGGGUUUGGAAGACGAGGCCAACCCUCAUGGAUGCCGCCCCCGACCCCGGCAACACCAUGAGAUCAGGGAUUUGCUGGCUCUGUCUCAGAGCCGCGGAGGGUCCUGCUCAAACCCCAGAGCCGCGGGGAUGGGCUGCGGGGCUGGUGGGGGCGUACUGCGAGGGGCCGCUGAGCAGGCUGGGGUGAGCUGGGCCUGGUCUGUGGGGGUGGGGGCACAGCCUUCGCUGGGGAGGCAGCCAGGGAAGGGGUUCCUACCAGCCUGAGAUGGAGCAAUGGAGCAACUAGUGAAGCCAAGUUUGCAAAAUUAUCCCCGUUGGUGGAAGGGAUCCGACCUGACUCCAUCUUGGUUCUGACCUCCAAGCUGUCCUUGUUCCUUCCUGGGCGUGGGCUGAACUAACUUUGGGAGGAACUUAGUUUAUAGUUAAAAUAAACCUCCUUCUUGCCUGAGGACUAGACUGCCUUUGUAGGAUUAACAAAUUAGCCACAAGAUUAAAGAAAUUGUGGUUUAGGAGUCAAUGCAGCUGGAGGCUACAAGAUUCUGACCCUCCCUAAACUGCUCCUAAAAUCCAUGCCUGAGAUGUUUUGCAGACCCUUGCUGCACUAGAUGGAUCAGCUGGCACCACCCAGAUCAAUAGACUGGCUCAUCUGAUCUUGUGACCCCCACCAGGAACUGACUCAGCACAAAAGGACAGCUUCAGUUCCCUAUGAGUUCAUCUCUGACCUGACCAAUCAGCAGUCCUGGCUCACUGGCUUCCUCACCCACUAAGCUGUCCUUAAAAACUGAUCCCUGCCGGGCACGGUGGCUCAUGCCUGUAAUCCCAGCACUUUGGGAGGCCGAGGCGGGCGGAUCACGAGGUCAGGAGAUCGAGACCAUCCUGGCUAACACGGUGAAACCCCGUCUUUACUAAAAAUACACACAAAAAAAUUAGCCGGUCAUGGUGGCAGGUGCCUGAAGUCCCAGCUACUCCGGAGGCAGGAGAAUGACGUGAACCCGGGAGUCGGAGCUUGCAGUAAGCUGAGAUCGCGCCACUGCACUCCAGCCUGGGGGAUAGAGUGAGACUCCGUCUCAAAAAAAAAAAAAAAAAAACUGAUCCCAAAUGUGUGGAGAGACUGAUUUCAGUGACAAUAAAACUCCGGUCUCCCGCACAGCCA